AUUCCAUCAGGCAAGGAUCACUGAGGCCACCUUAGAGUCCAUCUUCCACAGGAGUCAGUGUCUAACAAGGUAUGCUAGAAAUUGUAAAUAAAUAAUGUAAAGAAAAUAUGAGUCCCUGAAUAUUGUUAAUUUUUUUUUUUUGCAUUGAUGCUGUGCAGAGUUUGGGGAAGAGGAAUUUAAUAUCCCACAUAACCCUAAGUCAGUCAGGAAGUUAAAGGAUUUAAUGUUUUGUGAUAGGAUGAUAUCAGGAGCCACCGUUUACAAGAUGUAAAAUACAAAUAUCCCACUACUUCCUCUCCCACCCAAGUUAGUUUACUCUAAGUAUCUCUGUACCUCUUUCCAGUUUCUCAAACUCACAGCCACAAAUUUUGGAAUCAGCAAUUGUCUCAAAAGGAAUAUUAACUACAAAUUUUAGACUCAAGUUAUUUAUUUCUAUUCCAGACUUUAGUUCAGCAGUUUCUUAUCAACAUGAUGGCUCUCCAAUGACUUCAAGCAUAUGAUUUUCCAAAGCUUUUCUAAUUAUUCUCAGCUGGAAGUUUGAACAAACCUUGUAUGCCACUAUUACCAAGAGAAAAACUAUUGUGUUGGUAUAUUUUAAAUUAUUAUUUACUUGCAAUUUCACUAUACCUUUUUAAUUUUAAGUAUAUUCAAUUUCCACAGCAAAAAUUAUAAAGGCUACACAAAAAUAAUAGCUAUAAAAUUAUAUUAAAAUGAUGUUUUCUAUUAGGGGUCAAAAUAGCAUCUCUACUGGAUCCCAAUAAGAUUUUUUAUAUUCCACUCUGUAAUAUCCACAAUGCUACAACUCUACACCAACAUGUGAAUUACAGGCAACUAAAUGUCAAAACAUUAAUAAUUCUCUCAUUAGACUGAUCUAACACAAAAAAUAAUAAUAUAGAGAGUUCAGAUGGCCUUGUUUUGAUACAUGAAACAGAGCCAUGCCCCCCAAAAUUUAAGGGUAGAGUUUUAUUGGGGUAAGGUCCACAAUUGGAGUUCCCUCUGCCUGGCUUAGAAUUUGCCCCUGCCAUUUCUUUACUAUGGGAACUUGAACAAUCUCUGUGAAUCUCAUUUAACUUAUCUACAAAACAGAAAAAUAAUAAUAAUUAAACCUAUCUACUUCACAAGGCCUUUUGAGUAAUACAUGAUUUAGUAUAUAUAAAAUACUUAGAAUUAUGCCUGGAACAUAGUACAUGUUUGAUAAAACUUCAAAAUAAGAGAGUAGAGCAAGAAAUAGGAAAUCAGGAACCCUGGUGUUACCCAUACACAAAAAUAAAUGAAUGAAUAAAAGGAAUUUUCUGGACCAUGAGAGAAUAAAGUUCCAGAAUUAUAGCUAUGCCACAACCUAGAAAUCAAGAAUCUCAGCUAAAAAUUCUAAAUGUCAUGGUUUUUCUUAAACAAAUUAAAGUGAUCUAUUAGCUCACUUAUUUGAUGUUAUUUAAGAUAUUUUUAGAGCUCUGUUGCGGUAAUACUCAACUCUGCCAUCUACUACAAAAUGUGGGGCCUUUAGGUCAUUAGAAGAUAGCGCUCAUGAAUGAUAUUAGUGCUCAUAUAAAAGAGACCCCAAAGAGUUUCUGUGCCCCCUUUGCCAUGUAAGGAACCAAUGAGAAGAACUGCGAUCUCUGAACAUGAAAUAGGUCCUCACUUGCUACAGAUUCUGCCAUUUCCUUGAUUGUGGGCUUCCAGAACUAUGAGAAAAAAAAUUUCUGUUCUUAUAAACCAUAUAGGCUGUGGUACUCUCUUACUGUAGCUUGAAUGGAUUAAGAUACUCAGUAAGUCAGAGUCGUGUUAGUGAAACAGAAAUUUAUCAUACAUUAGAAAUUGUAAAUUGAAAUGAAUCCCAAUCAGUACAUUUUUUUCAUUUUAAUUACCUCAGUUGCACCAAUGCCUCCUUCAUAAAUUGUACCUAGGGACUAAAGUGGUGGAAGUGUCUUUCCUAGAACCAACUAGCAGAGGACAAAAAAGAGCUCAAUUUGGCUAACAGACAGCUUGAUCCAAUAUCAUGUAGUAAGUGAAAAUGAACUGCCACAACACUAAGAACCAACUUAGGUACGACUCAGAAGGAAACUGGUAAAGGAAAUCCUCCCAGUGGAAAGAAUAUGAACAGAAAUGUGGCAGUAAAAUGGCCAGUCAUUUUUAUUUCUUUAUUUAUUUACUUAUUUUAUGGAGGGUGAAAUGGCUGAAUUAAGAAUAUUCAUAAACUGCUGGUGUGGCAAAUGGGGUGGCUGAUUGGUCAAAGACCUGGGAAUACCAAAUUUAGAAGACUAAAGGCAAGAAAGUUUUGGGAAAAGGUCUCUGAAUAAAACUCUGCGUAGGCAUAGAGAGGCAGAUAUUCAUAUUUCAUAUAUAUAUCCAAUAGAGUACAUUUCCACAAAAGAUGUUCUCAUGCCUGUAGAUGAUAUAAUUUUUCCUGUGACUGACAGUGAGUCUUUAUCCUUGGCUACUUUAGUGCUGACACAAUGACUGAUGUAAAAAAGGAAUGCCUGAUUUAAAAUCAUAAAAGCUUAAAAAACAUUGCUGCUGACUACAAGACCUAUUUUAUAAAAGAAGAUGUGACAACGACUCAUAAUCCUGGAACCAAGUUAGUCUAUUCUAGUCUUCAUUAUUCAGAGGCAGCAUUUCUAACAGAAAAAUAGUAUCAGAGAAAUUUUCCUGAUAGGUUUGACUGAUAUUCAUAAGGAUACAAUAAUAUCACAGAAUCAAUAACUAAUAUAUCAUAUUAAGAUGCAUGGAAUCAAAAGAGGGAAGUAUGUCUGGUAUUUCUAACAAUUAUUUCUAGUGAACCUCUUGGAGAAUUUUUGCUUCAAAGUCCUGACUUCUUAUUAACCUUUGCUGGAUCAUAGUUCUGGGGCUCUAGUACUAAUAGAGCUAAUAGAAUUCUUCAACAAGAGAGAACAGGCAGAUGUUAUAGCUAUUAUCAACUUGCAGUCAGUUUGGACUCCAUAUAUGGGAAUAGAAGGCAGAAAGCUAUUUUACUUGCAGGGACUGUUGGCUCUAAUUACCAUUAAAAUCCAGGUUUGCUGCUAGCUCAUGGGUGUGGGAAAAAGUAAGUAUAAAAUGCAUGCAACCUACUAGGGUGUCACAUCAUUCCUCCCUUCCUGGUAAUAGUGGUAAAUGGGUAUAUGAUCACAAAGGGUAAAACAGGUAGAGGUUUUGAAUUCUUUGAGAUAAAAUAUGUGAUCAACUAAACUAGAAUUUCUGAAAUACCAGGCAAGGGUGUGGACUAUCUAUAAUUGAUGCUGGAGGAGGAAGAUAAUUUCUUGCUUGAAAAAAGCUGCAGCAAUAAGGAAUGUAGCUAGUUUCAAUAACACUCCUGAAUUAUGGCUUUUGUAGAUAAUGCAUUCUAUGUUCCUAGAUUACUCCAGGUUUUAUUACAACUUGAGUUACUUUCUGGUUUAAAUAAAAUUGUUUUUUAUUUUUGUUUUGACCACUUGACCUCAAACUGAUUAACAACAGAAAACAAUGUGUCUAAAAGAGUUUGGUCCAGAAAAUUAUUUUUUAAGUGAAAGAGCAAAGAGUUGUGAAUGUAACACUAGGGAAUACCAAUAUUUAAGGUUUAUAUAGAAGACAAACCUCCAAAGAGAAUAAAAUUGCUAGGCCAGAAGGCAGUACGUAACAAAUAAUGUUGAAAUUGUUAAGCCAAAAUAUGAUUUCAAGUAGGAGGAAGUGGUCAAUAAUGUCAGUUAUUGUACAGAAGAAACAAAGAUAAAAAUACCAUUUUUAUUUUAAUAUGGAAAUUACUAGGUAUCUGGUUAUUAGAGGAGCUUUAGCUAAUAUGUAAAACUCAAUAAUAUGUGAACUUUGGUGGAGAGGGAUCAAGAUGGUGGAGUGAAAGAACAUGGAGCUCACAUCCCUCCACAAAUGCAUAAAAAAAUACAUUUACAUGUGAAAAAAUUAUCAAGGAAAAUUAACUAAAAACUGACAGAAGAAUGCCUACUCAACCAAGGCAUAAGAAAGAUUCUCGUGUAACUGUGUAGGAUGGGGAAAAAAGGAGCCAGUCAAGACCUACACACCUGAGAGUGGUCUGAGAAGAAAGGAAAGACUAAACAGGCAGACUCUUGCUCUUGGAAGUGAGAUAUAGACUGGAUGUCAUAGUCAUAGGGUCCCAUGUGGAGAAGAUAAGCCCUAUUGGCUGCUGCGAAACUGCCAGGAUAUAUAGAAGGGCUGGAGAAACCUGGACUCCAUUUGCAAGGAAUGCAAGGAUUCUGGCAUGCCAACAGACAGGGAGGAUUGAGUUUUGCACUGGUGGCUGCUGCCUCAUUGCUCUCCCCAAUCUAAGCUGGACAAACACCCUGGCCCCGCUCACUCCAUAUCAGAGCUUGGCAUAGGUCAGCUGGUUCCUGGGAAAAAAAUCCAUCUAGUGAUGCAGAAACUGUUAAGGCCCCUGGGGAGUGAUCUGGGUAACAGGCCGUGGCCACUGUUGGCACAUACUAAAAUAGCACCACAAGGCAGUCCAGACCUGUGGCAACAAUGCAGCCAACUCAAGCACCAUGAAAAAUAUAUUAUAAUCCCUAUUUCCAGCCCAGCAAGUACUCUGAUGCUGACCACUCCAUGCUACCGGUGGGCAUUGGAUCUGUAAUUUCCAGGUCCCAGGAAAAGACUUAAUCUAGGGGUGCAGAGGAGGCUAAGGGGGCCUGGAGUGUGGUCCGAGUAGGGUGGUGGCAGCCAGUGUUGGUGCUUGCUUAGGCAGUACCCAGAGGCAGCUCAGACUUCUGAAAGUAGCACAGCCACUUCAAUUUCAGCAAACCACAAGUCUCAACACACUGUGCUAGCUGAGCAAACAUUCAAGACCUGCCUGCUCCAUGCCACAGAACUGCAUUCAACCUGGGGUGAAAACACAGGGAAAAGGACACAGCCUUGGGCUGCAUGUGAGAGGAGCUACAUACACUCACACAUGCAGCAUAUAAGACAGACCUGUAUGAGCAUGAGUCCCACUUACUUUAGCACCCUCUGUGUUUGGGAGUAAGGACCCCAGUGUGGGGAGAAGAAAUAAUACAAACUUAAAGGGAACGGAGUCUGCUUGAGCCCAACCUCAGGAUUUCUGCUCCAGUAACCAGGGAGCAUACCCUACUCCUCACACAGCAGAAACAACCAUGAAGCAGAAAAGAAGUGACCACAACAUCUUGAGCAAAGACAUGGCUAAUGUCCAUAUCAAAUCCAGCCCUUGUACCUAG
rnacentral:lncRNA from 1 species